rnacentral:rRNA from 1 species
GACGAACGCUGGCGGCGUGCUUAACACAUGCAAGUCGAACGGAAAGGCCCUGCUUUUGUGGGGUGCUCGAGUGGCGAACGGGUGAGUAACACGUGAGUAACCUGCCCUUGACUUUGGGAUAACUUCAGGAAACUGGGGCUAAUACCGGAUAUGAGCUCCUGCUGCAUGGUGGGGGUUGGAAAGUUUCGGCGGUUGGGGAUGGACUCGCGGCUUAUCAGCUUGUUGGUGGGGUAGUGGCUUACCAAGGCUUUGACGGGUAGCCGGCCUGAGAGGGUGACCGGCCACAUUGGGACUGAGAGACGGCCCAGAAUCCUACGGGAGGCAGCAGUGGGGAAUAUUGCACAAUGGGCGGAAGCCUGAUGCAGAAACGCCGCGUGCGGGAUGACGGCCUUCGGGUUGUAAACCGCUUUCGCCUGUGACGAAGCGUGAGUGACGGUAAUGGGUAAAGAAGCACCGGCUAACUACGUG